rnacentral:rRNA from 2 species
CGGGUGAGUAACACGUGAGUAACCUGCCCCUGACUUCGGGAUAAGCCCGGGAAACUGGGUCUAAUACCGGAUACGACCGUCCCACGCAUGUGGGAUGGUGGAAAGUUUUUUCGGUUGGGGAUGGGCUCGCGGCCUAUCAGUUUGUUGGUGAGGUAAUGGCUCACCAAGACGACAACGGGUAGCCGGCCUGAGAGGGCGACCGGCCACACUGGGACUGAGACACGGCCCAGACUCCUACGGGAGGCAGCAGUGGGGAAUAUUGCACAAUGGGGGAAACCCUGAUGCAGCGACGCACCGUGCGGGAUGACGGCCUUCGGGUUGUAAACCGCUUUCAGCAGGGAAGAAGCGAAAGUGACGGUACCUGCAGAAGAAGUACCGGCUAACUACGUGCCAGCAGCCGCGGUAAUACGUAGGGUACGAGCGUUGUCCGGAAUUAUUGGGCGUAAAGAGCUCGUAGGUGGUUGGUCACGUCUGCUGUGGAAACGCAACGCUUAACGUUGCGCGUGCAGUGGGUACGGGCUGACUAGAGUGCAGUAGGGGAGUCUGGAAUUCCUGGUGUAGCGGUGAAAUGCGCAGAUAUCAGGAGGAACACCGGUGGCGAAGGCGGGACUCUGGGCUGUAACUGACACUGAGGAGCGAAAGCAUGGGGAGCGAACAGGAUUAGAUACCCUGGUAGUCCAUGCCGUAAACGUUGGGCACU